UACGAAGGGGGCUAGCGUUGUUCGGAAUUACUGGGCGUAAAGCGCACGUAGGCGGAUUGUUAAGUUAGGGGUGAAAUCCCGGGGCUCAACCCCGGAACUGCCUUUAAUACUGGCAAUCUCGAGUCCGAGAGAGGUGAGUGGAAUUCCGAGUGUAGAGGUGAAAUUCGUAGAUAUUCGGAGGAACACCAGUGGCGAAGGCGGCUCACUGGCUCGGUACUGACGCUGAUACGCGAAAGCGUGGGGAGCAAACAGG
rnacentral:rRNA from 1 species